GGCGGGCCGUUCGAACGGCGCUGCCGCUGCUGGCGGCGCUCGGGCCGGGCUCUGGGCGCUGCGGGCUCGCUGUGCCCCCGGGCAGCCCGACGCAACACAGCCCGCCCGGGCAGCUCCGGCCCGGCCUCCCCCGGCCCGGCCUCCCCCCUCUCCGCAGCGCCCGAGGCGCAGGCAAGGCUCCCUUCCCGACGGGACAGGCCGCGCUGCUCCUCCGCCGCCGCUCCGGGACAGACAAUGGGCGAGCAGGGUCCUGGGGAAACGUGGCCUCGCCACACUGCGGAGCAGAGGAAUUCCAGCUGAG
rnacentral:lncRNA from 1 species